GGAAAUGUAGUUCAAUGGUAGAGCACUUGCUUAGCAUGCAUAAGGUUCUGGGUUCAGUUCCUAGUACCA
rnacentral:tRNA from 1 species